UACGUAGGUGACAAGCGUUGUCCGGAUUUACUGGGCGUAAAGAGCGCGCAGGCGGUCGAUCAAGUCGAGUGUGAAAGCCCCCGGCUCAACUGGGGAGGGUCACUCGAUACUGAUCGACUCGAAGGCAGGAGAGGGAAGCGGAAUUCCCGGUGUAGUGGUGAAAUGCGUAGAUAUCAGGAGGAACACCGGCGGUGUAGACGGCUUUCGUGGACCGUAGCUGACGCUGAGACACGAAGGCGUGGGUAGCAAACAGG
rnacentral:rRNA from 1 species